rnacentral:rRNA from 1 species
UACGUAGGCAGCAAGCGUUGUUCGGAGUUACUGGGCGUAAAGGGUGUGUAGGCGGUCCUCUAAGUUUGGUGUGAAAUCUCCCGGCUCAACUGGGAGGGUGCGCCGAAAACUGGGGGGCUAGAGUACUGGAUGGGAGAGUGGAAUUCCUGGUGUAGCGGUGAAAUGCGUAGAUAUCAGGAGGAACACCUGUGGUGCAGACGGCUCUCUGGACAGUAACUGACGCUGAGGAGCGAAAGCGUGGGGAGCGAACAGG